AGAGUUUGAUCCUGGCUCAGAACGAACGCUGGCGGCAGGCCUAACACAUGCAAGUCGAGCGCCCGCAAGGGAGCGGCAGACGGGUGAGUAACGCGUGGGAACGUGUCCUUUGGUUCGGAAUAUUCCCGGGAAACUGGGAGCAAAACCGGAUAAGCCCUUCGGGGGAAAGUUUACGCCAAAGGAUCGGCCCGCGUUAGAUUAGGUAGUUGGUGGGGUAACGGCCUACCAAGCCUACGAUCUAUAGCUGAUCUGAGAGGAUGAUCAGCCACACUGGGACUGAGACACGGCCCAGACUCCUACGGGAGGCAGCAGUGGGGAAUCUUGGACAAUGGGCGCAAGCCUGAUCCAGCCAUGCCGCGUGGAUGACUGAAGGCCCUAGGGUUGUAAAGUCCUUUCGACGGGGACGAUAAUGACGGUACCCGUAGAAGAAGCCCCGGCUAACUUCGUGCCAGCAGCCGCGGUAAUACGAAGGGGGCUAGCGUUGUUCGGAUUUACUGGGCGUAAAGGGCGCGUAGGCGGAUUUUUAAGUCGGGGGUGAAAUCCCGGAGCUCAACUCCGGAACUGCCUUCGAUACUGGAAGUCUGGAGCACGGUAGAGGUGAGUGGAAUUCCGAGUGUAGCGGUGAAAUGCGUAGA
rnacentral:rRNA from 1 species